rnacentral:tRNA from 1 species
GGGGAUGUGCCUCAAUGGUAGAGCACUUGCCUAGAAUGCAUGAGAACCUAGGUUCAAACUCUAGCGCCA